GCCCUCAUGCCCAUCAACAGAAUGGCUCUGCUGAAAGGAAGCACAGACACAUAGUUGAGGUUGGGCUAGCUCUCUUGGCAGGAGCCUCCAUGCCCCUAAAAUUUUGGGAUGAGGCCUUUCUUACUGCCGUCCACAUCAUCAAUAUGCUCCCUAGUCGAGUCAUCAACAAUCAAACUCCAGUAGAAAGACUCCUUCAUGUCAAACCAGACUAUAAAUCUCUUCGUGUUUUUGGUUGUGCUUGUUGGCCCAACCUUUGCCCAUACAACAAAAGAAAACUCAUGCUCCGCUCAAAACAAUGUGUUUUUCUCGGGUAUAGACCUCAACACAAAGGUGUCAAGUGUUUAGAUAUAUCCACUGGCCGUGUCUACAUAUCUCGCGAUGUCGUUUUUGAUGAAACCAACUUCCCCUUCGCCACCCUACAUCCAAACGCCGGUGCUCGCCUCCGAGAAGAAAUUCUCCUCCUACGUACUCAUCUUGCCACCAUUGAUCAAGGGGGUCCGAAUUAUGAUGAUCAACUGUUGACUAAUCCUGCUACUAAUGGUGUGCAUGAGUUUUUUUGAUGAUGUUCCAGGAGACAGCAGCGAAAAUAAUGAAGAAACAAGUGAAAAAAACGCGCCGGCAGUCCCACAUCGCAUGUGUCCACAUCCAGGAGGCAAACCCUCCUCGGGAUUGGCCCCGCAGCAGCAGUUCAGUGGAUUCCCCUCGGGAUCGGUGCCGGCUGACGCGCCAGACGUGCAGGCGACAG
rnacentral:rRNA from 1 species